rnacentral:rRNA from 1 species
GAUGAACGCUAGCGGGAGGCUUAACACAUGCAAGUCGAGGGGCAUCACGAGGUAGCAAUACUUUGGUGGCGACCGGCGCACGGGUGAGUAACGCGUAUGCAACCUACCCAGUACAGGGGGAUAGCCCGGAGAAAUUCGGAUUAAUACCCCAUAAUGAUAUUAAAAGGCAUCUUUUAAUAUUUAAAGUUUCGACGGUACUGGAUGGGCAUGCGUGACAUUAGCUAGUUGGUAGGGUAACGGCCUACCAAGGCUUCGAUGUCUAGGGGUCCUGAGAGGGUAGACUCCCCACACGUGGUACUGAGACACGGACCAGACCUCCGUACGGGAGGCACGU